GCCUACGGGGCGCAGCAGUGGGGAAUAUUGCGCAAUGGGGGCAACCCUGACGCAGCAACGCCGCGUGAUUGAAGAAGGCUUUCGGAUUGUAAACCUCUGUCCUCUGUGAAGAUGAUGACGGUAGCAGAGGAGGAAGCUCCGGCUAACUACGUGCCAGCAGCCACGGUAAUACGUAGGGAGCGAGCGUUGUCCGGAUUUACUGGGUGUAAAGGGUGCGUAGGCGGCUUGGCAAGUCAGUAGUGAAAUCCAUGGGCUUAACCCAUGAACUGCUAUUGAAACUGUCGAGCUUGAGUGAAGUAGAGGUA
rnacentral:rRNA from 1 species